rnacentral:rRNA from 1 species
AGUGAACGCUGGCGGUAGGCCUAACACAUGCAAGUCGAACGGCAGCACAGGAGAGCUUGCUCUCUGGGUGGCGAGUGGCGGACGGGUGAGGAAUACAUCGGAAUCUACUUUUUCGUGGGGGAUAACGUAGGGAAACUUACGCUAAUACCGCAUACGACCUACGGGUGAAAGCAGGGGACCUUCGGGCCUUGCGCGAUUGAAUGAACCGAUGUCGGAUUGGCUAGUUGGCGGGGUAACGGCCCACCAAGGCGACGAUCCGUAGCUGGUCUGAGAGGAUGAUCAUCCACACUGGAACUGAGACACGGUCCAGAUUCCUACGGGAGGCAGCAGUGGGGAAUAUUGGACAAUGGGCGCAAGCCUGAUCCAGCCAUACCGCGUGGGUGAAGAAGGCCUUCGGGUUGUAAAGCCCUUUUGUUGGGAAAGAAAUCCAGCUGGCUAAUACCCGGUUGGGAUGACGGUACCCAAAGAAUAAGCACCGGCUAACUUCGUGCCAGCCGCCGCCGUAA